rnacentral:rRNA from 1 species
UACAGAGGUGGCAAGCGUUGUUCAGAAUUACUGGGCGUAAAGGGCGCGUAGGCGGUCCCAUAAGUCCCGCGUGAAAUCCCCCGGCUCAACUGGGGAACGGCGCGGGAGACUGCGGGGCUUGAGUUCGGGAGAGGGAAGCGGAAUUCCGGGUGUAGCGGUGAAAUGCGUAGAUAUCCGGAGGAACACCGGUGGCGAAGGCGGCUUCCUGGACCGACACUGACGCUGAGGCGCGAAAGCUAGGGGAGCAAACGGG